CCUACGGGUGGCAGCAGUGGGGAAUAUUGGGCAAUGGGCGCAAGCCUGACCCAGCAACGCCGCGUGAAGGAAGAAGGCUUUCGGGUUGUAAACCUCUUUUAAGAGGGAAGAGCAGAAGACGGUACCUCUUGAAUAAGCCACGGCUAACUACGUGCCAGCAGCCGCGGUAAUACGUAGGUGGCAAGCGUUGUCCGGAUUUACUGGGUGUAAAGGGCGUGCAGCCGGGAAGGCAAGUCAGAUGUGAAAUCCCGGGGCUCAACCGCGGAACGGCAUUUGAAACUGUUAUUCUAGAGUACCGGAGAGGUAAUCGGAAUUCCUGGUGUAGCGGUGAAAUGCGUAGAUAUAAGGAAGAACACCAGUGGCGAAGGCGGAUGACUGGACGGCAACUGACGGUGAGGCGCGAAAGCGUGGGGAGCAAACAGGAUUAGAUACCCCUGUAGUC
rnacentral:rRNA from 1 species